CAGUAGGGAGGAAGGUAGUGUAGUUAACACCUGCUAUUAUUUGACGUUACCUACAGAAGAAGCACCGGCUAACUCCGUGCCAGCAGCCGCGGUAAUACGGGAGGGUGCGAGCGUUAAUCGGAAUUACGUGGGACGUAAAGCGCAUGCAGGCGGCCUGUUAAGUCAGAUGUAGAAACGGCCCGGGGUACUUAACCGUCGGUAAUUGCUAUUUAGAAACUGGCAGGCUAGAGUCUUGUAGAGGGGGUAGAAUUUCAGGUGUAGCGGUGAAAUGCGUAGAGAUCUGAAGGAAUACCAGUGGCGAAGGCGGCCCCCUGGACAAAGACUGACGCUCAGAUGCGAAAGCGUGGGGAGCAAACAGGAUUAGAUACCCUGGUAG
rnacentral:rRNA from 1 species